ACCUGCCCACNGAUUAAUUNAAUGGCCGCAGUAAUUUGACUGUGCAAAGGUAGCAUAAUCAUUAGUUUUUUAAUUGAAAGCUUGUAUGAAUGGUUGGACGANAUAAAAUCUGUCUCUAUUUAAAUUAUUUUAGAAUUUUAUUUUUAAGUUAAAAAGCUUAAAUGUAUAUAAAAGACGAGAAGACCCUAUAGAUCUUUAUAUUUUUUUAUAUAAUUUUAUUNAAGAAUUUUUUANUUUUUAUAUAUAUAAAUAUUUUAUUGGGGUAAUAAAAAGAUUUAUUAAAUUCUUUUUUUUAUUUNAUAUAGAUUAAUAGAUAUUUGAUCCAAUAUAUUUUGAUUAUAAGANUAAGUUACCUUAGGGAUAACAGCGUAAUUUUUUUUGAGAGUUCAUAUCGAUAAAAAAGUUUGCGACCUCGAUGUUGGAUUAAAAAUUAUUUUAGGUGUAGAAGUCUAAAAAUUUGGUCUGUUCGACCAUUAAAUUUU
rnacentral:rRNA from 1 species